rnacentral:misc_RNA from 1 species
CAAAAUAAGUUUCCAGAUCUAAAAUUCAUAAUCAAAACACACAAAUAACAAAGAUGACAGCUAUCACAGUUCACUAAUGAAAACACUAAAAUCACCGAAUAAUCAGGCAGUAAGAAGGACAGCACCACCAGCAGCCUUAAUCUUCUUCUCCGCGGUCUUUGAGAUCAGCUUCGCCUUCACCACAACCGGACUCCCCGCCGGCAGCAUCCCUUUCCCCAGCACCUUGAAAUACCCAUGCUGCGUCACAUCAAUCACCGGCGCCGAUCCGGCACCGCCGGCCGCCGCCUGCUGCUUCGCAGCCUCGGGGACGAGAGACCAGAGGCGGUCAACAUUGACGAUGGGUGAGUGGAACUUGUUGCGGAGGCGAUGGAAGUAGCGCAUCCCAACCUUGCCGAAGUAUCCGGGAUGGUACUUGUCGAAGAGGAUGCGGUGGUGGUGCAUGCCGCCGGCGUUACCGCGGCCGCCGGGAUGCUUGCGGUGCUUGCCGAUACGGCCGUGGCCGGCGCUGACGUGGCCGCGCUUCUUCCGG